GGUUUCUUGUAAUUAUUUAGGAGAUCUGACCUGCCCACUGAAAAUAUUUUGAAGGGCCGCAGUAUUUUGACUGUGCAAAGGUAGCAUAAUCAUUAGUCUUUUAAUUGAAGGCUGGUAUGAAUGGUUGGAUGAGGUAAAUUCUGUUUUAUGUUAAUUGAUGUUGAAUUUAGAUUUUAAGUAAAAAUACUUAAAUGUUAUUAAGGGACGAGAAGACCCUAUAGAGUUUAAUAAAUAUAAUAAUUAAUUGAGUUAAAGUUUAAUUUUUGGUUUUUAUGUAAUUUAUUUAGUUGGGGUGAUUGGAAGAUAAAAUAAACUCUUCUUUAUAUUCAAUAAAUUAAUUAGUUAUAUGAUCCAUAUUUAAUGAUUAAAAGAUUAAAUUACCUUAGGGAUAACAGCAUAAUUCUUUUUAAGAGUUCAUAUCGAAAAAAGAGAUUGUGACCUCGAUGUUGGAUUAAGAUUAGUUAUGGGUGCAGAUGUUCAAUAACUAGGUCUGUUCGACCUUGAAAAUCUU
rnacentral:rRNA from 1 species